CGCAGCGGCGCCAAUCACGUUUGUUUAUCAUACCGCGGUAAUUCAGUGUGAGAGGAAGCAGUGGGGAAGCAGGAGACACAUGAGCAACAGGUCGGUUUUUAUCCAUUUUCGCUGGUUCUUCACUAAAACAAACGGACAACUUUAUGUAACAAACUUUAUUGAACUCAUAGCAGCCCGCUACUAGUCUGUGGUGAUUUGAGGAGGGCUGUAGAUGUGAAGAUUGAACUGUGAACUGGUGAGCAGAAUUGUUUGUCUUGAUAGCUUAGCCACCUCCAUUCAGAUGAAUGGAUGGUGUUAGCUGGAUGAUGCCAAUGCUUAACUCUAAAAUGUGAUUGCUAAUAUGUAACAUUGAUUCCUGAAUUUAAUGUAUUGAAUGAAUUGAGUAUUUGAUGCUGUAAAUUUUAUUUAUUUGGACUAAUGACAAGUGCUAUACUUAUUGUGGAUUAUGAUGAUUAUGUUGAGAUUGAAUUGAACUGCAGUACUUUGAUUGAAAAGACAUGUGUAUACACUGAAAUUCGAGCAAUGUAUAUUGAUUGUGACAUUGUGAUUUACUUGAACCCUGGCUUUACAGGCCAGGUUCUCAGAUUUUAGAUGGCGAGCUAAAAGGAAGUGACCUACAGACCCAGGA